ensembl:lncRNA
AGGGUUGAACAGGAGAGGCCAACAAAAGGAGAGCUGUCAGGAAUCAGAGCUAUUCAGCAGCUUCCCUUAGCCCAACGUCAUCUGCAGCUCUAGCAUGUGGACUUGGUGUGGAGGAAAGAUUCUGAGAACUCAAAUGGGAUCUCAAGUUAUGAAGGUACAGAUUAAAGGCCAUGAGAAGAUGUACAGAGAUAACUGCGGUGAGCUUGGAGGGACCACAUUCAUCCAUUCUGAGCUGCACUCAGUCAUUGGAUCAUCAGAGAAUCAUAGAAUGUCCCAAGUUGGCAGCAACCUCAACGAUCCUUGAGUCCAGCUCCUGGCUCCCUGCAGGACCACACAAGAACCAAACCAUAUGUCUGAGAGUGUUGUCUGAAUUCUUCUUGAACUCCAUGAGGCCUGGUGUCAUGACCACUGCCCUGGGGAGCCUACAAAGAAAGUAAAGCCUGAAUGCACGCUAAAGCCUCUCCUGCUGUGCUGCUUGUUCCAGCCUGGUAGGAGGAAGCUCAGCCCUCCUUAUGGAUCUGUCCUCAGAUAUGGGAAGAAGGUACAAAACACAGCAUAUAGAGCAACCAGUAGCUGUUACUGCUAGACGUCACAUAUUGAAGUCCUGCACUACCUCUGUAAGUCCCAGAUGCCUUUUUAGGUUGGGAGAUUUUCUUUGCAGAACUCCAGUGGUGGCAUCUCAAUAUGUGCGCUGGAUCUUGUGGUCCAACCAGCACUGCAGAUAUUAUCUCUGAUGUCUCUCACACGGUUUAACUCCAAGGCUUAGACACAUCUUACAGGAGACCAAGCUGAGGGAGACCACUUGUAGACCAAGCUGAAGGCAAUGCCCUAUUUGUUGGUGUGAGCAGCAAAUGAGAUGGGAGUGUACAGAGACUACACUCAUAGAAUCACUAAGGUUGGAAAAGACCUCUGAGAUCAUCCAGUCCAGCUGUCCACCUAUCACCAGUAUUCUCCCACUAAACAAUGUCUUUCAGUACAACAUCUAAACGUUUCUUGAACACCUCCAGGAAUAGUGAUUCAACCUCCCUGGGCAGCCCAUUGCAGCUGAACUGUAAUAGAGGUGUCACAGUGAUAGGUAAACAUUAGGUUUUAGCCAAAUAUGUGAAGAGACAUAAUUCAAGGGAGAGAACUGAGAAACGAAGGCCAAAGUUUUUAACUAGAGGGUGAAAGAAGAAAUUUAAGCAGCCCCAAAGCUUGUUGGUUCACCUUAUACAGGUGAAAAAUUCAAGCUCUGAUGGCAUCACUUAAAUCCAGCUUCCAAGAAACUGCACUUUGAGUUAUGGAGCUGCCUGGUGAUGAGUUUCUCCUGUUAGGAAGUGAGAAGGGCUCAGAGGAGAGGACCUGGGAGAAGCCACUCCUUCUUGUUUUCCAGCCUGGUCCCAGGGUCAGGCAGCUGACGGAGUGAUGAGGGAUGGCUGACUCAUCAGCCUUUGUGUUGUUUCGCAGAAGCCAUGCAAAGCUCCUGACAGCCUCUGAUUUCACAUUACAUAAGGCAAUACACCCCAGUGCCACAUGUGCUACAUCACAUUCCUCUUCAGCAGAAUCCUUCGGCUCUCCAAACCAUGUCGUGUUUAUGUAGACUCCCAAGCACCAGUUAUGCAAUCUUUCCCAUUCUCUCUAGCCAACAAACAUCCAAUUAAAAUGUGCAGUUACCAUGGUUUCUCCCUCACCAACCUAGGUAGCAUAAAUGUGAAGUUUGGGUUUGAGAAAAAAAAAAAAAAAAAAAAGGAAAAAAAAAGAGGUAU